AGGAAUAAAAAAAGACAGUAGUUCAUCCUUAUUUCUUGAAAUCCGCCACACAGCCAGGACGGAGCUUGGGAAAGUCUAGAGCCAGGGAUGGCUCUCUCCCUCCUCUAUGCUCAGCCCUCACCCUGACCAUCAUUCUACAGGGAUACUCUGCAAGGUGCAGGCUAAUGUGAACUAUGAAUGUCCACUGAGAAAGUCACAUUUUAAAAUUGUAAAUUUAACUGAUAUACUCCUCCUCCCAAUAGGACAGAUAACAUGUUACUAAGGUUCUGAGUGUCAUCUAACUUUGUUUCUCUUCUGCCUCAAGAAAUCUAACAAGUAGUUUUGGUAUUAAUAUCUGCGUUGGAGUACUUCCUUAUAUCUUACUUUGGACGUAAGUUUUAGAACCUAAAACUAGGAGUCAUUGAGUGAGUGCUAUAAUGACCGAAUAUUUGUUUCAAAGUGCAUUGCGUUGCUUCUUUCCUGUGAUCCUUGACGAUAGGAUUUGAAACCCAACAUCUAUCUACUCAUUCUGAUUCAGAGGCUCAAGGGCAUUAAGUAAUAGAUAUCCAACAUAAGAGACCCACAACAAUGGUCCUAUAGUUUUAUUAAAGAUAGUGAAAAAGCUAAUAUCAAGUUCCUUAAAUGAUAGUGAGACAAACUUUCCAUGAGGCCAGAGGCCCCCUCUGUCAGUCAAGCAACAUCCUCUACUCUCAGGCUCCCAUCUGACACCAGGUUGUGAAGGCCUUGGGGCCCUUUACCCAUGACUAGCCCAUGACAGAAUGCUUUCUUCCACAGAGUCUUCACUCCCUCUAAAGAGGCCAGGAGUGUUAGGUGAGGAGGAAUGUACAUGCUGAGGUCAGUUCUGGACCAGCCCCAGGCCAAUGGUACAGAGAAGGAUGAUAGCAGCUGAAUGGCUCAGAAAGAGUCCAAAGCCAGCUUAACACUGGUAACAAUUUUACCCCUACCCCAAGAGCUGACAUGCGUCCAAUUCCAGUUCCUCUUUCCCCACCUAAAUGAUCCCAGAGGUGGCACUAAGCCCAGCCCACUCACAAUCUAGGACAGCGAUAGUCAGACAUCUCAAUGGGCCCAGCUUCCCAGUAGUAGGAGUGACUGAGAACAGCACUAGGGGGCCCCUGCCACAUCAAAGAGAAGCAUCUAUGAGGGGUUACUGCCAUAAUGCCAACCUUCUUGCUGUGCUUUGAGAAACAAACCAAAUCCCACCUCCCUUCAAAGAGCUCUACUUGCUAUGAAAAGUAAUCCCACCCCCUACUAAAGUCCUGAGACUUAGGUGGCCCUGAGGCCAGUAGGAGGCUUUGGGGUAUCUCAAGAGCAGCCACACUUCUCCACCAAGGAAGUGUUCACAUAGUGCACACUCAUCUUGUGUUCGUCAUCCUGGACCAUCAGGGAGAAGAGUCUGACCAUGGUGGGACGGCAGGUCUGGAAGAGCCAGGGACAGGUAGGUACUGCCCGCUGGCAUCAGCGACAUCAGUGGCUGGAAUCUUUGUCUCUGCCAAGAGGGUGGGCACCACCUCCAUCCAAUACGUGAGUAAACAGUAGAUAUCCAAUAAUGACCCUCCCUCUGACUGGUAGGAUGAAAAGAUAAUGGGGAAAGAUCCCAGAAGGAAUCUUUGGAGGCCCCUUCUAUGGUCCUCGAACUCUAGAACAAGCUCAGUGGCAUGGGGGACAAUGGGCACCCAAGCCCAUAACUUUAUCAAGGAAACCCCCAAGAAGGAAACUGCCUCAAAACAGAGAAGCCAGUAGCUGUGUAGGAACUAUGAGCCUGUAGGGAAAGAAGAGUGGAAGCUCCAGGAGGCCACUAUCGUGGAAAGUCCCACCUCCCUUUCAGCUUCUUACUCCCCACUACCCAGCCGGGCAGGACAGGACAAAGACUUAGCAGUCUCAGCUUGUCAAAGUCAGUGCUUAGUCCACAGCAGCCAGGGAUGGACUGAGGUUCCUCAACUCCCAUCACCCUACCCCUGGAAUUAAGUCAGAAUGAUUGCCCUAGUACUGAAAAUCAUUCCAGUCACCAUGACCUAAGACAAGCCACUUGCCCUGUUUAUCUCCCAAAACACUAUAGUUGCCCAGCCCAGCAGCUGUGUACUUCACACUUUAGAGCAUCCUUACACACAGAACUUUAGGGCAUCAGCCAUAAAGCUUAAAGACAUCCUACAUACCAAGCCUGCAGAGCUGAAACCAGGAAGCAGAUUCCAUUUCUGCUAGACCAGCUGAAGAAUAUUCUGUACCCAACUCCUUGCUCUACUCACAAGAGCCCUUAAUAUCUGUUGUCAUUUACACCCCAUUCCCUGACCAGCCCCACAAAAUGCUGCCAGGCAGCUUCUGGAUCACUCCUUCCCUGGCAAAGACCAGCGCUCCAGCUACUUACUUUUGAAUAUGAGGGUAAAACCAUGUUGCCUGGCAGAAAAAAAUCUCAUUUAUGUGGGAAGGCAGCAUCGGGUUGGGACAGUCAAACGUCUCUACUGAGCUCAAACACAUGCACCAAAGACCCAGAGCCAAGAGCCCAGGAAUGAGCCAGGAGCUGCCACUUCUCCCACAGCCACCCUCCAACAUACCUGCUCUCAGAAGCGGGGCUUCCCCUUCGCUGUCUUUAAAUAUCCACGUGCCCAGCUGUAGGCCCUAUUCUAACCCCCCACAGCUUGUAGCUGAUCACGCAUUCAAGAGAAAUUAAAUUCAAGUGAGAGAAACUCUCACUCCCAGAACAACU
rnacentral:lncRNA from 10 species